AACGAACGCUGGCGGCAGGCUUAACACAUGCAAGUCGAGCGCCCCGCAAGGGGAGCGGCGGACGGGUGAGUAACGCGUGGGAAUCUACCCAUCUCUACGGAAUAACGCAUGGAAACGUGUGCUAAUACCGUAUACGUCCCUCGGGAGAAAGAUUUAUCGGAGAUGGAUGAGCCCGCGUUGGAUUAGCUAGUUGGUGGGGUAAAGGCCUACCAAGGCGACGAUCCAUAGCUGGUCUGAGAGGAUGAUUAGCCACACUGGGACUGAGACACGGCCCAGACUCCUACGGGAGGCAGCAGUGGGGAAUAUUGGACAAUGGGCGCAAGCCUGAUCCAGCCAUGCCGCGUGAGUGAUGAAGGCCCUAGGGUUGUAAAGCUCUUUCACCGGUGAAGAUAAUGACGGUAACCGGAGAAGAAGCCCCGGCUAACUUCGUGCCAGCAGCCGCCGUAAUAC
rnacentral:rRNA from 1 species